rnacentral:rRNA from 1 species
UACAGAGGGUGCGAGCGUUAAUCGGAAUUACUGGGCGUAAAGGGUGCGUAGGUGGUUUUUUAAGUCAGAUGUGAAAAUCCUGGGCUCAACCUAGGAACUGCAUUUGAAACUGGAGAACUAGAGUUCGGAAGAGGAAAGUGGAAUUUCCGGUGUAGCGGUGAAAUGCGUAGAUAUCGGAAGGAACACCAGUGGCGAAGGCG